rnacentral:lncRNA from 1 species
ACUUCAGGGAACAGCUCCUAGAGCCAAAAUUUACAACUCUCGUUCUCCACUAAAUUCAACAGCAAAAUAACCUAGGAGACCUGGCAAAAUCAUAUAUUAAUUAUUAAACCUAUACUAGAUCCUCUCAGGUAAAUAUGAACAUGGAGCAGAUCGCUGUACAUCUUGAAGGCACUCCACUCCAUUAAAACAUGGUAUCUACAUAAUGAU